rnacentral:lncRNA from 1 species
AUGGAGGUGCGAGACCCUGACAGGUCCUUGCCGGUGCCCGCGGUCACCGCGCCCGGCUGGAGCCCCUGGGGGCGCCGCAGCCCCGGCCCAGGAGUCUCAGCACAGCGGGUGGCGGCCCAGGGCGCGCUUUGGGGGACUCCUUUUCUAGAAGCGCGCAGGCCCUGCAUCACAUGGGCUCUCUCCGGGGGACCCGGGGGGCAGUGGCAGCGGCUGCGUCUGGGGAGGGAAGCAGGUCCCCCGAGCGGCCUCCUCCCGGGGCGCCCUCGGAGCCGCGGGGUGGCCGGAGCCCGCGGGGGGUGCGCGGGCAGAGCGCGUCUCGGAGGGCCCCGCGGGCGGCUGCUCGCGCUUUCAGGAAAAAGUACCGCCCUUCUGCACGGCAUUGCGCACGCUUUUAAAAGCCUGGUCUCAUCGCCAGCCCUGUCUGAAGCCGAAGUGGGGCAAGAGUCAGCCUCGCGAGGGCGCAGAGGGAGUCUGUGGACACCCGGGUUCACGCUUCUCCCAAAGCCCGGGGCACGAGUGGGGUUCAGAACCAAGGACUUCCCAGAGUCUACAUCAGGCCCAGCAGGCUGGACGACCCUCCUGACCUGCCCUGGACGUCCUGAGAGCGCCUCGGUCCUGGGGAAGCCAGGCUGACUGGCCGCCCUGGGCUGGGCAGUGCCCCGUCGCGUGCUAGUCCCACUAGCAGGGUAAAUGAAACCCGCAAACGCCUUCAGCACCUUUCAGCUCCGUGAGUGUGCCACACACCGAAGAACACACUUGGUUUUCGGGGCUUUGGGAUUUUGGAAUUGUGGGUGAGGGAUCGAUCGUGGACCUAUAAGCAAAUAUGUAUAUAUUCUUCUAACAAAUCAGUUGUAUCGAUACAUAUUACUAAAGCAUGCAAUUCAUGGAAAGUGUACAAUCAACGGUAUUUUUAUCAUCACAUGGUUGUACAUUCAUCAUUUCAAUCAUUAUUAGGGCAUUUUCAUUACUUCAAUAAUAACAAAUGAAAAACAGACAAAUAAUAAAAUUCUUCACCUCUC